rnacentral:tRNA from 1 species
GAUUUAUAAAGAUUAAUCUUUUUUUAGAAAUU